rnacentral:rRNA from 1 species
UACGUAGGGGGCAAGCGUUGUCCGGAAUCACUGGGCGUAAAGCGCGCGCAGGCGGUCAUCUACGUCGGGGGUGAAAGCCCGGAGCUCAACUCCGGGAUUGCCUUGGAUACGGGAUGACUUGGGGAUAGGAGAGGCAAGGGGAAUUCCACGUGUAGCGGUGAAAUGCGUAGAUAUCGAGAGGAACACCUGCGGCGAAGGCGGGUUGCUGGGCUGACACUGACGCUGAUGCGCGAAAGCUAGGGGAGCGAACGGG